rnacentral:rRNA from 1 species
UUGGAGGGCAAGUCUGGUGCCAGCAGCCGCGGUAAUUCCAGCUCCAAUAGCGUAUAUUAAAGUUGUUGCAGUUAAAAAGCUCGUAGUUGAAUUUCGGGAUCAACAUGUCGGUCGUGCCUCCGGUACGUACUGGCAUCGUUGGUUUCUACCUUCUGACAAACCAUGAUGUCAUUAAUUUGGUGUCAUGGGGAAUCAGGACUGUUACUUUGAAAAAAUUAGAGUGUUUAAAGCAGGCACACGCUUGAAUACAUUAGCAUGGAAUAAUGAAAUAGGACGUUUGACCCUAUUUUGUUGGUUUCUAGGAUCGACGUAAUGAUUAAUAGGGAUAGUUGGGGGCAUUAGUAUUCAAUUGUCAGAGGUGAAAUUCUUGGAUUUAUUGAAGACUAACUACUGCGAAAGCAUUUGCCAAGGAUGUUUUCAUUAAUCAAGAACGAAAGUUAGGGGAUCGAAGACGAUCAGAUACCGUCGUAGUCUUAACCACAAACUAUGCCGACUAGGGAUCGGAUGAUGUUAAUUUUUUAAUGACUCAUUCGGCGCCUUACGGGACAC